AUGGCCUCAAGCAUGUCCAAGAGCUCAACUCUUAGCAUUGAACUGUUUGGCUCAAAUGCCCAAAAAUUGCCUAGAGUGUCCAACACCCACCCCCAGCCUGGGUCAGUUUCUGUGACACCCAGAGUGGACCUGAGGGCCCCUGUGCAGCAUCUCAGCUUCCUGCUGCUCUGGCUCCCGAGUUCCUGGUGUGAUAUCCAGAUGACCAAGACUCCAUCCGUGUCUGCAUCUCUGGAAGAGAAAGUCACCAUCACCUGCAAGGCCAGUCAGAAUAAUUACCGUAAUUUAGCCUGGUAUCAGCAGAAACCAGGGAAAGCUCCCAGGCUCCUGAUCAGUUAUGCGACCAAUUUAGGGCCAGAUGUCCCACCCCGGUUCAGCGGCAGUGGAUCUGGGGCAGAUUUCACUCUCACCAUCAGCAGCCUGAAGUCUGAGGAUGCUGCCACUUACUACUGUUAUCAUUAUGGUAUUUACCCUUCCACAGUGGUACAGGCCAGAACAUAA